CAGCUACCACUCCAUCCAUUCGAGACAACAAACAAGCUCACACGGUGGGGAGGGAGAGUGUUGCUCUCUUCAUCCUUAAGAAGCCCACGAAAGAUACGAAAUCAGAAGUUACUCAAUUUGACCAUGUGACAUCAGGACAGAUACAGGUGGUAUCCUCAAUAAGCAGCAGAAUUAAACUCAGAACUCAGAUCGGCGACUACCGAGCCUGCCCAUGUACAGUCUUCUUGCUGGGCGGCAUCCUCUGACUCAGGGCUGUUAACUGGAUUGUUGCAGAUAUGAAUUUCAAGAGGUAGAAGAGAAGCGCCCUGAACUGGCUGAGUCUAGCCAAGCAAGUGUCUGUAGCCCUGAACCAGUCAAGGAGCUGUAUACCUUCCCAUGUACCUCAUACACACACACCCUCUGACCUUUCAUCUGCUCCUUCUAACUGAGAGUUGACAGCUAUUUCAUAAAUACUACAGCAGACGCUGGACGGUGUGUGAUGAACGGUUGAUCUGAGAAAAGAGACCAGGAGGAGAAGGAUGAGAAGUAGAACCACGUGAUUUGUCAUCCAAACUGGGAUACUUUGAGAGUGAAAGGAGAGAAGCUAUUCACAAUAAUAUGGGGAUGAGAGCGAGAAGAAGCAAUGCUUGGAAGCAAAUCAGGAAAAGUUCGCCAUACUGAAUUGAAUUUAAAAGCAAAGGAAGAGAAAUAAUAGAAAGAGACAGGAAAAUAAAAGGGAAAGAAGAGGAAAAGGAAGAGAACAGGGAAAUGAUUACCACUCCCUCUUGGAAACAAAGAACAAAUAACUCAAUGACUGUGUGGAGACAGGAUUGUCUUUGAACAGAGACAAACUUAGGAGGAGAAAGGAAGAAAUGACGAUCAUCAAAGCAAAGAAAAGAAGACUGAGGUGUCCAAGAAUACCGUGUUGGCUUUUGGUUUAUCAAUUAAAAUAAUGCAAAU